UCCUGGUAGCUCAAUCGGUAAAGAAUCUGCCUGCAGUGCAGGAGGCCUGGGUUCGAUCCCUGGGCCAGGAA
rnacentral:tRNA from 1 species